rnacentral:rRNA from 1 species
AGAGUUUGAUCCUGGCUCAGGACGAACGCUGGCGGCGUGCCUAAUACAUGCAAGUCGUACGCUUCUUUUUCCACCGGAAAAAGAGGAGUGGCGAACGGGUGAGUAACACGUGGGUAACCUGCCCAUCAGAAGGGGAUAACACUUGGAAACAGGUGCUAAUACCGUAUAACAAUCGAAACCGCAUGGUUUUGAUUUGAAAGGCGCUUUCGGGUGUCGCUGAUGGAUGGACCCGCGGUGCAUUAGCUAGUUGGUGAGGUAACGGCUCACCAAGGCCACGAUGCAUAGCCGACCUGAGAGGGUGAUCGGCCACAUUGGGACUGAGACACGGCCCAAACUCCUACGGGAGGCAGCAGUAGGGAAUCUUCGGCAAUGGACGAAAGUCUGACCGAGCAACGCCGCGUGAGUGAAGAAGGUUUUCGGAUCGUAAAACUCUGUUGUUAGAGAAGAACAAGGAUGAGAGUAACUGUUCAUCCCUUGACGGUAUCUAACCAGAAAGCCACGGCUAACUACGUGCCAGCAGCCGCGGUAAUACGUAGGUGGCAAGCGUUGUCCGGAUUUAUUGGGCGUAAAGCGAGCGCAGGCGGUUUCUUAAGUCUGAUGUGAAAGCCCCCGGCUCAACCGGGGAGGGUCAUUGGAAACUGGGAGACUUGAGUGCAGAAGAGGAGAGUGGAAUUCCAUGUGUAGCGGUGAAAUGCGUAGAUAUAUGGAGGAACACCAGUGGCGAAGGCGGCUCUCUGGUCUGUAACUGACGCUGAGGCUCGAAAGCGUGGGGAGCAAACAGGAUUAGAUACCCUGGUAGUCCACGCCGUAAACGAUGAGUGCUAAGUGUUGGAGGGUUUCCGCCCUUCAGUGCUGCAGCUAACGCAUUAAGCACUCCGCCUGGGGAGUACGACCGCAAGGUUGAAACUCAAAGGAAUUGACGGGGGCCCGCACAAGCGGUGGAGCA